AUGAAGAACAAAAGCGGUCGCCGAAGACGCAAUCAAAAUGCGCACCAAAAAACAACUCGAAACAAAGCCGCUGCUGGCGAUGGGAACGAAGACAUGCUUAGCAAGCUGCCCAACGACCUUUUGCUCAACAUUCUGGAGAGGGUGGACACGCUAGACGCGAUAAGGACCUGUGUCCUAUCCAAGCAAAUGCUGAAGCUCCCCACCAUGUUCUCGCGGUUCUUCCUAAGUGUCAGUUCCGUUCCAGCCUACCAUGACAAAGCUCGUGUGUCCAGCCUCAGCGUCAGCGACAUGCUCCGAACCAACAGUGCUCUGGCUCAUGUAACGGAUAACUUCUUGAGCACAAGGAGCACGGAGGUCGCCAUCUGCAAACUCAAAAUCAGAUUCAUUCUGAUGCAGCGUGACUCCUUAGUCAUUGGCAACUCUGUUGCCCGCGCCAUGGCAACCCAGAAGGUUGAUGCAACCGAGUUUGAGAUUGUGACAGAGAAGGCUUACAAGAUCUGCUCUUCUGAUGAUCUCCUCCAGUACGGGAAGCAAUUCAAUGAUUUUAUCGGUGCUUGUCCGGAUGCAUUUGCCGGCCUUAGGUGCCUCUGGCUGCGCAAUAUGAGGUUUGGUGAACUAGACAUCCCCAACAUCCUGAGCACCUGCAAGCUCUUGGAGUCUUUGCGCUUAACCCAUUGCGACUCAGGGAUCCAUUCCGUGGUGCAAGUAGAGCAUGCUCGACUUAUUGAGCUCGAGGUUGACAAUGGGAAAUUUGAGAGAGUUGAGCUCACAUGUCUGCCAAAACUCGAACAAGUGACCUAUAAUAAUUGGUUCUCUUAUGAAGAUCCCAUGUAUUUUGGUUUUGUGCCACAACUUUCAAAGCUGAGCCUUAUUAAAACUGGCUCCCGUUUGCAAAAGACCCUUGAGUUAAGUCAGUUCCUUGUUAAUGUUCCUUCCAUAAGCGAUCUCCAUCUGGAUUUUAGAAGUGAAAAUAUUUGGGUUAUCCCAGAAAGCCCGGAACUGCUCACCCCUGUGCUCAGCAAACUACAGCUUGUGAAUCUGGAUCAUCUUCCCGAAGGAUGUGAUUUAGCUUGGACAAUGUUUAUUCUUGAAGCUGCACCCUCCCUAAAAGAGCUGUGCAUCACAGUAUGGGAUCGUUGCUGCAUAAUGUUCACAGGCACAGAGUUCCGGAAGGAAAAUGGUUUGUGCGACAAGGCAGACGUGAAGUGGAAGCCAUAUGCCCCUGGUUUCAAGCACAAGAAUCUGGUUAAGCUCGCCAUCUAUGGCUUUCAGCCCGACGACAACUUUGUGCGAUACAUCAGGUGUCUCGCGGAAGCUGCGGUUAAUAUGGCAGAGAUAUCUCUGCAUGACCGGAAGGUGUGUGGGCGCUGUGGUGACUUGGAUCUUGAGGUCCAGGUCAAGGUUUGUCCAUCGAGAUAUCCGCGGACCGCUGAGGAGAAGAGCCAGGUAACUGAGGUGUUGGGUUUGGCUUCGCGGGCUGUAGUUCACUUCCGGUCCUAA
rnacentral:rRNA from 1 species